rnacentral:lncRNA from 1 species
CAGGUUCUUAGAGGCAAAUCUGGGAUCUGCGUUGGCACAGAUGGCUGAGGUAGGUGGGUGAGAAAUGAGGCAAUUCAGACGAAUACAAGAGGGAUUCUUAGAAAGGCUGUAGUGCCCGCUCCCAGCUCUGUCCCCUUGGGCUGACCCCAAACGUAAGAGCCCAUCAUGCUGUGGAAGAGAAGAAACAGACUUAAAUGAUGUGAGGAAAAGAAAGAGACAGAGAGAGACACAGACACAGACAGAGACGGAGACAGAAUACCCCUGGUGAGGGCCGGGGCCUAACUUGUUCUCUGUCUUGCCAGCACCUGAGGCUCUGCGCAACGGUUCAUCUCUCCCAGUCCAGGAGGGCCAGUCCCUACACCUGGUCUGUGACCACAACAGUAACCCUCCUGCCAAGUUGAGCUGGACCCGGGGCAGCCUGACCCUGAAGCCCUCACAACCCUCAAAUCCCGGGAUCCUGCAACUGCCCCGGGUGGAACUGGGGGACCAUGGGAUAUACGUCUGCCGAGCUCAGCACCCGCUGGGCUCUUUGGAAGCAUCCCUGAGCCUCCUUGUGAAGAGUGAGUUGGAGCACACCUGGGAAGGAUGCCUGGGUCCUGGGAGGUGGGGCUCCUCUGAUCCCUCUCCUGUCGUCCUGCAGAACCCCCGAAGCUGUUUGGUCCCUCCUGCUCCUGGGAGGGUGAGGGGUUGCACUGCACCUGUUCUGCUCAAUCCCAGCUGCCCCCCUCCCUGCACUGGCGGCUGGGGGAGGGGCUGCUGGAGGGGAACCACAGCGAUGCCUCCUUGACCGUCACCUCCAGCUCCGAGGGGCCCUGGGCAAACAGCAACCUGAGCUUCAUGGAGCCGCUGGGCUCCAGCCUCAGACUCAGCUGCGAGGCCAGGAAUGUGCAUGGGGAACAGAGCGCCACCGUCCUGCUGUUGCCAGGUCAGGGGGCUGUGUCGGGGUGAGGGGAGGGUGAUGCCUGGAGGAAGGAGGUGCACGAGGCAGGAUGGAGCAGAGAAGUGCUUCUGACUCUGGGCCAAGGGGCGCCAGAGGUCCAAGUCACCGGAAGGUUGGUGGGGGAGGGGCUGGGGGAAUAAGUGGCUGGGAUCCCAUAGAGGGACAGGGGGACAGAGGAGCCAGUCCUGGAUAGAAGUGGGCACAACCCGGGGUCAUGGAUUCCAGAAGGCUGGAGGCUCAGGUGCCUACUUCUACUUCAUGGUGCUGGAGUUUACCCCGGGUGCCUCUUACCUGCAGGGAGACCAGGGCCCAGGACGGGUGUGCUUCAGGGGGCGAUUGGGGGAGCUGGUGUCACGGCCCUGCUUGCUCUGUGUCUCUGCCUCAUCAUCUUCUUCGCGUGAGUGGUGGCCCCAGUUUGGGCGAGGGCCUCGCGAGUUUGGGUCAGGGAGGGGACUCAGAAAAAUCUCCCAGACUCAAAGCCCAGAGCUGGAGGAGCGCAGUGGGUUGAAGCUGCAUCAGGAAUUCAGCCUCCUGACCCCUGGGCCAGUAGUCUGUUCCCCAUAUGGGGUGGGUGGUUGCUGUCUGCAAGGAGGGAAGAUGUGUUCUCAUUGUGGUCCCUGCAGCCAGACAGUUCCGGGGUCCCAGCAGUGAGCCAGCCAGGCUAAAAGGUCCUGAUCUCUCUCCUCAGAGUGAAGACCUACAGGCAGAAAUCAACCGGGAAAGCAGUGCACAGGAAUGACGUCCAUCCCACAUUGAAUACAGUCUCCCAGGUGAGUGGCGUGGGCAUCUUUCUAUCCGGUGUCCUGGGCUGGGCCAUGAGGUGGCUCACUCGGCAUGCCAAAAAUGAGUCCUUCCUUGACCACCCCUCCCCCCACCAAAUUUGGUCCUCUCUUGGGAUUUCUGGCUGCUCUCAUCUCAAAGACUGGAGAGACACCUUUUCCUCUCCCCUCUCCUCCAUUUAGACCCUUCCCUGCCGAGCCCCCACUGUCUCCCUCUUGGGGCACUGGCCUCACUCUCCACAACUCCACCUCUCCUCCCAAGCUUUGGGCAAGAAAUUCCCAAACAGCUGUCACCCCUGUGCCUGCCCCCCCCCCCACUGUCUAGAUCAGCAGAGUCCAACAAAAAUAUAAUGUGAACCAUGUGCGUAGCUUAAAAGUUACUAAUGGCCACAUUUAAAAGGUAGAGAGGGGCACCUGGGUGGCUCAGUCGUUUAAGCAUCCGACUUAGGCUCAGGCCACGAUCUCACAGUUCCUGCAUUCGAGUCCCAUGUCGGGCUCUGUGCUGACAGCUCAGAGCCUGGAUCCUGCUUCAGAUUCUGUGUCUCCCUCUCCCUCUGACCCUCCCUCCUCAUGCUCUGUUUCUCUCUCUCUCUCUCUCUCAAAAAUAAAUAAACUCUAAAAAAUUUUAAAUAGAGAGAAGCAUGAGGUCUAUUUUAAUAUGUUUAUUUAACCCAGUAUAUUCAAAAUAUUACUUCACCAUCACAUCAUCAAUAACCAAUGUAUAGGUUAUUAAUGAGAUAGUUUGCAUUCUUUCUUCUUCUUCUUCUUCUUCUUCUUCUUCUUCUUCUUCUUCUUCUUCUUCCAAUUCUUCUUCUCCUUCCUUUGGUACCAAGUCUUCGAAAUCCAAGAUUUAUUUCACACUCAUGGCACACCUCCACGAGGAAUCGCCAUGAUUCACGUACUCAGUAGCCACAUGUGGCUAGGAGCAACCGUAUUUUACACAAUUUCCUUGGGCUGGUGUUCUGUGAUCUGUCCCAUGCCCUGAAAAGGAGCUCCCUAUCCCCAGGCAGGACUCAUUUUCUGUGACUUUGUGCGUUUGCAUGCAUGAUUUCCUCUGUCCCUCCCCAUUUGUACCAGCCGGACCCCUAAUCGCCUUUCACACUCCAGUCUCAAUAUUCCCCUGUCUUAUGCAGGGAAACUCAUCAUGCCUCCCUGUAAUAACCGCAGGCCUGUCCCCAGCACCCUGUGAGCCUCUGGGUGGGGGCGGGGGGUGAGGCAGAGCUCCUACACGCCUCAGUGAUUCUCACCCACACCCCUAGCACCCUUCUUCUGCCCACCAAAUCACAAUGUGCAAUUAGAUAAUUUGCGUGUCUGUGUGAGAGAGACAAUGUGAUACUGUCUCCUUGCCCUCAUAGGCAAGGUCCUCUCUUGGGAUUGUCUGUCUGAGGUCAGAUAGGCUGUCUGAGGUCAGAGAUGGUGUGUCCUAAAGAGUUUCUUGACCUUGCACACUCUGUCUAUAAAAUGGAAUGACAACAGUUAUAUCAUCCAUAGGGGAGUGGUGGGGGGAUUUGCAAGGAAUCAAUGCCAUUAUGAUGAAAAUUUGUUAAAGCUACAAAUGAAUGAGUGAGUGAGUGAGUGAGUGAAUGAAUGAAUGCUCAGGAAAUGGGCAUGAAGUGGAUAAAUGGUUAAGUGUUCCCCAAGCCCCUACUUCCCUUCUCCAGACCCAAAGGCCAGCUCAAAUGCCUUUCUUUCCUCCCACUCAGGAUCACAGCCAGUCAGACAGCCGGUCAGACCCCCUUUCCCCAGCCGCAGCUGCCUUCCCCUCAGAGAAAGAGGGGAAGCUCCACUACGCCUCCCUCACAUUCCACGGGCUGAGGCCACACAACUUUCAGGACCGGGAGACCACCGAGUAUGCAGAGAUCAAGACCCAGAAAUGACGACCCCACCCACAGCCCCCCUCAGGAGCCCAGACAGGGCAUCUCUGAGGAAAUGCGUGUCAGGCACUGAUGUUUUUUAUUUUUGUUUUAAAGUUUUUUUAGUGUUUAUUUAUUGAGAGACAGAGAGAGAGAGAGAGCACAGAUGAGCGGGGGAAGGGAACAGAGAGAGGGAGACACAGAAUCUGAAUCAGGUUCCAGGGUCUGAGCUGUCAACACAGAGCCCAAUGCGGGGCUCGAACCCAUGAACCACAAGAUCAUGACCAGAGCCAAAGUCAGAUGCUCAACCGAUUGAGCCACCCAGGUGCCCCUAAAUUUUUUUAAUGUUUAAUAAUUUUGAAGGAGAGAGAGAGCGUGAGCAGCGGAGGGGCAGAGAGAGAGGGAGACACAGAAUCCAAAGCAGGGUCCAGGUUCUGAGCUGUCAGCACAGAGCCCGACAUGGGGCUUGAACCCACAAAUGGUGAGAUCGUGAUCUGAGCUGAAGUUAGAUUUUAACUGACAGAGCCACCCAGGCGCCUUGUAAAUCUCUUUCUGCAUGUAACUAACAGGAGAAGAUAUUUCCCAAUACAUGUAUCUAACGAAGGAUCCAUCCACAGUAUAAAAAGAAUAUAUAGGGAUCUUCCAAAAGUCAGUAAGAAAAAAGCAGACAACUCAAUAAAAAGGAAAGAAAGCCAAAGGGCCAAUUAGCAGAUAGAAAGGUGUUUAACUUCAGUAGCUGCCAAGGAAAUGCAAAUAAAACCCCCAAUGCUGUGCCACAACACAACGACCACAUUGGCUAAAAUAAUAACAAUAUCAAGAAUAUCAAGUGUUGGAGACAUUACAUUAAGGGAAAUAAACCACCAUCAAAAGACAAAUACUGCAUGAUUCCAGUUAUACAAAGUAUCUAAAGUAAUCAAAUUCUUAGAAAUUUGGGGAACCCCCAGGGAGGGGGAAAUAGGAAGCUGCUAUGUAAUAGGUAGAGUUUUAGUUCUGCAAGAUGAAGAUUUUCUAGAGAUCAAUGAUGUGCAUGUAGCUAGUACACUUAAAAAUGUUUAAGAGUGGGGCGCCUGGGUGGCUCAGACGGUUGUCUGACUUUUGAUUUCAGCUCAGGUCAUGACCUCACAGAUGUGGGAUGGGGCCCCAGCUCCUAGCUGAGCAUGGAGCCUGCUUAACAUUCUCUCCCUCUCUCCCUCUCUCCCUGUCUCCGUCUUUCUCUCUCUCUCUCUCUCUCUCUCUCUGCCCGUCCCCCUCUUGCAUGUGUGUGCUUUCUCUCUCUCUCUCUCUCUCUCUCUAAAAAAAAAUGUUGAAGAUGGUAGACAUUUAUGUUGUUUUGGUUUGGUUUGGUUUUUUACCACAAUACAAAUAAGUGAUGUACAUAGUGGUUACCAAAGAGCUGAGAGGUUGGGAGAGUGGGUGGACAGUUAGCAUUUAAUAGGCACAGAAUUUCACUUUAAAAAGUUCUAGGGAUGGAUGAUGGGGAUGGUUACACAAUGUGAAUGUACUUAAUGCCACUAAUUGUACCUUUAAAACAGUAUACUUUACCACAAUGAACAUUUUUUUUUCCUUGGGGCACCUGGCUGGCUCAGUCAGAAGGGCAUGCGGCUCUUGAUCUCGGGAUCGUGAGUUUGAGCUCUACGUUGGGUGUAGAGAUUACUAAAUAAAUAAAUAAACUUAAAAAAAAUUUUUUUUCUUGAAGAAUACCAAGUGUGCUUCAGCAGCACAUAUACUAAAAUUGGGACGAUCCAAAGAAGAUUAUUAGCAUGGCCCCUGGACAAGAAUAGCAAGUGUCGGUGAGGAUGUGGAGAGGGUUACUGAAACUCUCAUAUAUCGCUGGGCCAGGGUGGGGAGUGAGAAUUGGUACAACCAUUUGGAAAAAUGUUUGUCACUCUCUACUAACACUGAGCACAGGAGCCAGCAAUUUCACUGCAACGUGUGUAUCCGACAGAGGGGCGCACAAACAUUUCACCAAAUGCGUGUGAGAAAGUUCAUGGCAGCUGUGGUUGUAAUGGCUGAAAAAUGGAACCUGUCCAAAUGCCCACCAGCACUAAGACAGGUAGAUAGUCGACAGAGUAUCCAUGCAGUGGAAGAAGGAAACGAGCAACCCAUACAACAAGGGAGAAUCUUAGAAACAUAAUGUGGAGUGGAAGAACCCAGACACAAGAGUCCCCACUAUGUGACAGCCUUGUUAUAAGGUUCAGAAACAGGCAAAACUAAUCUUUGUUGUUAGAAGUCAAGAUACUGGCUACUGUUGGGGGGCGGGGGUGGGUAGUGACUGGAAGGGGGCUGUGGGGGUGUCGUGAGGGCUCCAGGUAAGAUCUGUGUCUUGAUCUGGGUCCUAACUGCUCAGAUGUGGUCACUCUGUGCAACAUUUUUGAGUAACACACUGUGAUUUGUGUCCUUUUCUACAUGAAUAGUACUCUUUAACAAAAUUUGUAUUCAUCGUUCUUUCUUUCUUUCUUGAGAGGUAGAG